GGUAGUGCUGCGUGGCCGAGAGCCCUCACAGCCGCCCCUGCGCCUCUGGCCUCACGCAGCCUCCCGUCAGCUCCCCUGUGCCCCUCGCCUGGGGCGGGUGGUGUCUGCGGCCCCGUCCUCGUCCCCUACCCUCGUGUCACUGGGGCAGUGCAGUGUUUGAGCAGCUUGGGCCGAAUUCAGAUGAAACCGCCCUCUGUUUGCACUGGCCUGUGCUGCAGAAUCUCCCUUGCCGUGGCGGACACUGGAACAAACCCAUGAGUCCUGGCUACUCAGGUCAAAGGUCUCCCAGAGCGCCCUGCCACCUGAGGUAAUAAACCAAACAACUUCACAUAGAUUCAAAAUGUGGGAAGGAAUAAAAGGUGCACAUACAUCACUGGAUUGUUUAGGAACCCAUG